CCUUUUUUUGUAUCGUGACCAACACAGUUACAAUUUUUAUAUUCAAGUUGUCAAGUUCUCUUAUUUUUUCGCCUUCGUUAGAAAUUUACUUUAUUUUAUUGCGAAAAAAUAGCUGAACAAAGAUUGAAAAGCCUAACAAUAUAAAUUUAAAGAUUCAUAUUAAACAAUUUGGAUUGUGGUUUUCAAAACUGGAUAUUUUCAAGGUCGAUACACUGCCAAGUGUAUCAAA
rnacentral:lncRNA from 1 species